AAUCCAUGAUGUGGGCAUCUCUUAAGAAACUCCUUAAAUCUUUGCCAUGCUUCAAACAAUGAUUCAUUAUCUAUCUACAUAAAAUUAGUAAUAUAGUUAUGUAUUU
rnacentral:snoRNA from 1 species